UACGGGGGGGGCAAGCGUUGUUCGGAAUUACUGGGCGUAAAGGGCUCGUAGGUGGCCAACUAAGUCGGACGUGAAAUCCCUCGGCUUAACCGGGGAACUGCGUCCGAUACUGGUCGUGCUUGAGUUUGGGAGAGGGAUGCGGAAUUCCAGGUGUAGCGGUGAAAUGCGUAGAUAUCUGGAGGAAUACCGGUGGCGAAGGCGGCAUCCUGGACCAUAACUGACGCUGAGGCGCGAAAGCUAGGGGAGCAAACGGGG
rnacentral:rRNA from 1 species